CACGUAGGGCGCAAGCGUUGUCCGGAAUUAUUGGGCGUAAAGAGCUCGUAGGCGGUCUGUUGCGUCCGCUGUGAAAACCCAGGGCUUAACCCUGGGCUGGCAGUGGAUACGGACAGACUAGAGGUAGGUAGGGGAGAAUGGAAUUCCCGGUGUAGCGGUGAAAUGCGCAGAUAUCGGGAGGAACACCGGUGGCGAAGGCGGUUCUCUGGGCCUUACCUGACGCUGAGGAGCGAAAGCGUGGGGGAGCGAACAGGA
rnacentral:rRNA from 1 species